AUGUCUGGUCGUCAGUAUACCUUGGCCAAUAACCGAUCGGUGCCAACCUUUGAAAAACUUAACCGGGUGCUAUUUACCACCGACUGGGAAUAUAAAUAUCCCCUAGCCUCAGUUCGGGCAUUAGAAAGAAUUGAGGCCUUAUCGGAUCACGCUCCAUUGCUCACCGAUUUUGGACAACCAAUCCCAAGCUCUGACCGUCACCAAUUUAAAUUUGAAUUUGGAUGGCUGACUAGAGAGGGAUUUCAUGACCUGGUUAAGAAAGUGUGGGUACGCCAGCCACGCGGUAACACACCCAUUCAACGAUGGAAUAAUCGAAUUUGCGCAUUGCGUCGAUUCCUUCGUGGAUGGGCCAAGCAUACUGCUGGCAUCUACAAAAAAGAAAAAUUGCGACUAUCUACCUUAAUUGAUUCCCUUGAUAAAAUAGCGGAGGUGGGGCCUCUGUCUGCAGUUGAGAUUGAGCAAAAAACAAUCUAA
rnacentral:rRNA from 1 species